rnacentral:sRNA from 1 species
AUGUACCACUCGUACACUCCAGUUGUGAGUGCGCCAUCCGCACCUACCUGACGACUGCUCACUACAGUUUGAGCC